GUCUCUUCAGAGACAUAUUAUAAAAUUGGAACGAUAUGGAGAAGAUUAGCAUGGCCCCUAUGCAAGGAUGACAUGCACACAUCGAGAAAUGGUUCAAUUUUUU
rnacentral:snRNA from 1 species